AAGACUCGGCGCAUGCCCCGAGUGAGCGACCCGCUGAGGGGGAAAGUUUCGUCCCCGGGGUGACCUGCGUCCCCUCCCCUCCCCCCACCCGUGACCCGCAACCGCGUUCACACGAACCUUUUUUUGUCAAAGAGACAAGGCUAAUGGCGUUCUUCCAUUCGUUUCUUGCGAACUAAAGAGAGAAAGAGAAAGGAAGAGGGGCAAACAUUGCUUUUCUUCCAAAACCAUUUUGAAGCCAGGAACGUAAUCAAUCUCCAUUCCUGCUCAACUCGGAUCACUGAGAACAAGCACUUCCACCAACAAUAAAAGGGACAAGUCCAUGGCAUCGUGUCAAGCUAUUGGUGAGGUUGUUGUUUUCCUCUUCAUUCUUUUCAUGUGAAAUGGAGAGAACGUAAGGAGAUUUACUGCCGCAGGACCUACUGCAAGUCAGGCGAUCCUAUCUUGCUUCUUGCUCUCACUGCUAAUUCUUUUCACUCCCCCCAAAGUUUUGUCAACAUGGAAUACUGUGGACACAGACUGCAACACUGCUCUGUCACACAGAGCAAAAAUCCUUUCAAAGCUACGGUGCGCAAAAGGGAGAAGAUGAAAAAGGGGGAAACCCCAAUUUGGCACUUCGCAGGACAGUUUUAAGACGUUGCAGACAAAAUUAAUCUCGGCAGCAUUUCAUCCAUUUGACUUUCGGUUACUCCAGCUUGGUUGUCUGAGGAGCUGCAAGGCCAUCAAGCCAAUGUUCCCCUUUCAAAGACACAAACCUUAGAAGCUGUUAGUUGUGGUGGAAGGUUAGAGUUCCCUCUAAUGUGGAAAUAAAACCCUACUGUCUAAAAAAAAAAAUCCACAACCUAGCUGUUGCAAAUACACCUCUGCUGAACUGAAAAUAAAUAAAAUCAGCUCCCCAGCACUGCUGACAUUAUGAGAAUACAAAGAUCUGGAGAUGCAGAAUAGCAGGGUGGGGUGGGGUGUGGGGAGACAAUUACCGAUUGCUUUCAAACUGCUUCAGAGACUUGGGGAAGUAAAUACAGAAUAUUGUGUGAAGGUGCCUUUGUUUCAUCUGGGAUCCCGCUAAUUUGAAAGACACUUCAGGUGAAUCUAGGAACAUUUGUUCUAUUUCUACCAACAAGGCUUCCUUCUACUACCUUUUACUACUUCCUUUUAAACAAUUACUACCAACCUGCCUUCCAUUGAGGACCUGUAUCCUCCACGAAUCAAAAAGAGGGCUGUGAAAAUAUUUACAGAUCCCUCGCAUGAUGGACAUAAACUGUUUCAACUCCUACCCUCAAAACGACGCUAUAGAGCACUGCACACCAGAACAACUAGACACAAGAACAGGUUUUUCCCCGAACACCAUCACUGUGCUAAACAAAUAAUUCCCACAACACUGCCAAACUAGUUACUAAGUCUGCACUACUAUUAAUCUUCUCAUUGUUCCUAUCACCCAUCUCCUUCCACUUACAACUGUAUGACUGUAACCUUGUUGCUGGUAUCCUUAAGAUUUAUAUUGACAGUUUCCCUAUGACUAUCAUUAAGUGUUGUACCUUAUGAUUCUUGAAGAAUGUAUCUUUUAUGUACACUGAGAGCAUAUGCACCAAAGACAAAUUCCUUGUGUGUCCAAUCACACUCGGCCAAUAAAGAAUUCUGUUCUAUUCUAUUGUAUUCUAUUUUAGCCAAGACUUAGACAGCGGCCUAAUUUAUUCAAAUUUGGAGUGUCCCUUAUGAGGCGGGGGGGCUGUAGAAUAAACCACAAAGCAGGAGGAAAGUUUUACUUUUAUUUCUUGAACACUUUCAAGGUUGCCUAGUUUCAGAAGUGGUUGUAGAGUAGUUGAUAUCCCUCCUCUUUGCUAGAGAGCUUCCAUGCUAAUGAAAUGAAUACUGUAAUCCUGGGGAAAAGGGCUGAUGGAAACAACUUUCCUAGGCAGAUAGGAGCCAGAAUAUUUAAGCUAAGUAAUAUUUGGCAAUUCACUUACAGGCAAUUAGCAUUUCUCAACCUGGUUACACGGCUGCUAAUACAUUACUACUAUUGUAAAAUGCAAACAUAUGCAUCUUUUCCUAAAUUCAGUGGAGUGUAUCUUGUCCCCCAACAUAGUCAAAGCUUUCUACUAACUUCAGCUGAAAUGCAAAUAAAUGUCUAUGCUUAAUACUCAUUAGG